rnacentral:snRNA from 1 species
AUACUUACCUGGCAGCGGAGAUACCAUGAUCACAAAGAUGGUUUUCCCAGGACGAGGCUUAUCUAUUGCACAAGAUACAGAAGGGCUGCCCAGAAUGCACUGGAAUUAGAAUGUAAGUAAAACUCUGAU